UUGUGCUUGAGAAUUAUCAGUCUUCAGGCAUGGGGGAAUUCACUCUUGCCGUUAGUAAAGUUUGGCAAUGUUUCAAAUUGUAAUCCAAACCCUAAUGGUUUUUGGACUCUUUACUUAACUCUUGUCCAAAUCUCAGUGUUUCCUUGGAUAAUAAAGUAGAGCAAACAUACAAUAGACAUGAGCUGUCUGAAGCAUGUGGCAUUUUUUUAAAUAACUCCAAGUUAUGCAAACCUUUGGAACAGAAAAAAGGAAGGAAAAUAACCAGAAAAUGUGCACGAAUUUACUAAUUUCAUUCCUUUUGAAUUAUAUAGUCAUUAGAUAUAUACCAAGAGCAUGUUUGUUCUCCUAGAAGAUAUUGCAGUGGCGUUGACAGAGCUCGUGAGCUGAUUUCAUUGGGAAGAUGGAUAGAGUUAAACUCUGCCUGAUACCCACCACAUUCCACAGCCUGUGUGAUGCAGUGGGGUCAUUCCAGAAGCAGGCCUCAGUGGAAUGUGAGAUAGUCACCAACUCUGAGUAACUGUUAGUGGGAUGCCUGUAGGUCCUGCAUCUGCUUGCUUGGAAGACUCUAUGGCAAUCAAUAUCUGUGGAGAUUUAUGGAGCAUAAAAAUAGAAUGAGGACUCUAAAGGUGCUGCAGGAAGUUGUGGCCUGAGGAGGAAAGCCUUGCAAUGGCACAAGGAACAGUGGGCAAGUUUUGUUGAUAAUAUUGCCUAUUGAAAUAUGUGCUAGAUGAAGCAUUUGUAUUACAAAAGUAUGAUGGAAUUCUUUUCAGUCUGCAAGUAAUUAAGGAUGAGGUUCAUGAUCAUCAUCAUAAGUCAUAUUCAUAAUUUUAAAACAGUAGGAUAAGAUAACAUAUACUAAAGAACUCUAAGAGAUCUGUCAUGAGGGGUCUCAUUUGUAAGAAAUCCUGGCAUGUCAUGAAAUUUCAGAAGAUUCACAGUAUCCUGCCAAUGUUUAAGGAAAGAACAUUAAAUAAACAGAGUAAUCAGGAUGACCCAGCUUAGCUGGUUAACGUGACACCAGGCCCAAAUAGCACAGUACAAAAGUUGAUUCUUAGCCAGGUUGUAAACAAGUCAAUAAUUGGCAUUAAUUUUAAUUUUUAUCAACACUCUCUUGUUGAUAAGUCCAGUUCAAUUCAUUGAUAAGAAUUUUAAAUCUGUUUCCUCAGAUUGGUGUAGGAAUUAUUUCCCAAAGCAUUUGACUACCAUUGUGACAUUUUAAUAAAGGCCUUAGUAAAGUCUAGUGUCACUAAAUAUGGAGGCAUUUCAGUGGUCUGGGCCAGUGUGGCUCCAAGGCAGAACAUGUGUUUUUGGGCUGCGAUGCAUAGAGGCACCUACCUAAUCAGGCAGCAUUAGCUGGGGAUGUCUGCAGCCACCAAUAACUUGAAUCUUUCUUUUCCCUGGUUACUUUCAUGGUGUAUUGCUGUGAUUGGUUUUUUAGCCAUUUGUAUUAUUUUUCAUUUUGCUUUACCUGAGUUAUCCUAGUCUUUGUGUAAAUGUAAAAUAUCCACUGAUAGCAUUUCUGAGUAUCACAAAGGUUGUUUAGGGUGUAAAUUACUGUGUGUAUAAAGCAACUAGACAGAGCAACAGUGGCUUAAGGAGAUUGACAUAUUCAUGUGAAGUUUUUGUAACACAAGCGAGUGCAAAGUAAGGAGCUGAGAGCUAAGAUUACUGUUCACACCUCUGGGACCAAGGAGCUCUAGAGUGGAAAACUGUCCCAUAGGGACAACUGAGAAGUUCUUGACUUUUUGUCCUAGAAGAGAGAUGACCUAGAAGACAUAUGGUAGCUCUGCAAAAUUAUUUGGGUUACAAAGAGUUAAAUGGUUUGCUUAGGGUGUGUCAUGAGUCAGUGGGAAAGUUGUGAAUAGGAGCAAAAUGAUCUUUCUUGGUCCUUUAUCUUGCUGUAGAACCCAAUGUUCUUCAAAAGCAUGCAAUAACCAGUCUUCUGGGUCAUCCUGAAACUAAGCAUGGAGGAGUUUGUUGAGAGUGGUUUCAAGAGUGAUUUAGUCAGAGCAAAGAGAAAAAAGUGGAAUGGGAGGAAAAAGAGCAGAGAAACAGGCAGAAACAAUUGUGCUAUACUUAACAAAAAGCACGAAGAAAAUGUCUGUCCAUGGUGAUACAGAAAAAGUUGGUGUUAAGGCAGUGAGAGGGGAUAAUUAAUUCUUGAAUUUUGAGCAUAGCAAAAUAAAAUGCAGGAAAAUUUCUGCUCUGAUUCAGGUUCAAUAAAAGACAGGAAAGAACAGAGUUAGUGAAAUAGGGGGAGAAAAGGACUGUUAGAGCUUCACAGAAGACUAAAUUCUUGUUCCUUCUUUCCUAACAGUAGAACUGACAAAUUGAGUUAGCACAAAAUACAGCUGUGGCAAAGUAUCAUUCUGAAAACAAUUCAGUGCUGGUAGGAAUUAGUCCAUUGUUAAGUGUACUGAGAAGCUGGUUGGAAGCAGAGCAUGACCUAAUGGGAUCAGCAUUACUUUUGCAGCUGUGUGAAACCAUUCCAAUAAAUAAACAGCUCAGUGAAGAAAGUGUGUUAGAUUUUUAAGAUUCUCCCAGUUACAGAGGAUAUGCCAAGUCAUUGUUUCAAUGUGGAACAGAUCCUUAAACACUGUAAGGCAACCAGAUCCUUUGGAAGCACCAACAUGAUGCUGAUUUUCACAAUUUGAUAAUGUGACCCCCAAAUUCAACCCUUCUCCUGACUUCUGUGGUGAUGGCAUUGCAAAAGGCUGUAGAGAAUGGCAAAGACCUGUCCACUCUGCAGUGAUGUCAGAGGAAGUAUGGAUGCAUAACUGAAAGCAGGAUUUCCUUAAUUUUUACCUGAAAAAUCCCUCUGGGACUGGUGCAGAUUUUUAGUUUGACUAUAGCAGUGAUGCUGGGAAACAGAAUUACUGAUGGGAGAGACCUGACUGGAGCUGUCCCUGACACUUUGCUUUCUCAGAGAUGAUUAUGUUUGGAAUACUUCAGUGGGAAUAAUUUCACUAUUGUAGGAGACUUUUCUACUGCUUUUGCUUAAGGUAAAAGCCCUGUGCAACAGACUGUGCAUGCUGUGUACUGACGAUAUUUGCAUCUAGGGAUUUAUGUAGCACACUAUAAAGCCCUGUUUUUAAGAUUCAAAAUGAAUACAUUUUCAGUGGUCAAUAGCCAGGCUCCCUGACCUAUUUCUGCCUGAGGAUUUCUUCUGUAUCUGAGCAGACCCAGGCACAGAGUAACUCGUGACAGGAGUGCUGUGUGCCUGUGCUAAUGAAGUGUUUGGGUUGAAGAUUUGGUGCAUUACUGGCAGGCAUGACCUUCCAGAGGUCUCUGGUUCUCACUGUUCCACCUUAAGUCAGCAGGGGCUGCCUGUGCCUCUUCUCCUUGAAAGUCAACCCCUAGAUGUUUCCUUCAGGCUUGUAGCUGUUCAGUUCAAGUCACAAGACUACACCUGUGCUAGCCUGUCUGGAGCUUUGUGAUGCAGAUGCAAAAACAUCAGAGAAAGAUUAAUAGAACCAGCCAUUGAUUUAUUAUGCUCUGGAAAGGAAGGGAUAAAGCAGGCUGGCAUGAUGCCCCAAGCCCAGCCUCCACCACGAUUUCUCUUGUGCUGACAUACAUUCACUAGUAUUUAUCUUGUCUGUUCACCUUCCUUUUGCUUUAGUUUCUUGAACUUCAGGAGUUUAUUUUGGCAGGCACGCUCCUCACUGCUGCUGCUGCUGCUGCUGGAGCUUUCCUCUGAGCUUUUGGAGGGGAGAUACUUGAUUGCAAUCGAGUCCUUCUUGUUCAUUUGCAAGCAGAGGCAGGAGGAUUCGCUCACCUUAAAUGACUUCCCCCACAUACUCUGGCACAUGUCAGUCCCAUUUGCAUACAUCUGUGUGUCAAAUAAGAAAUGCCUCAGUUACAUUUAAAUAGAAUUGAAUUAACAUCAGUUUGUAUCAUAUUGAUAAGCAUUUAUCACGUUUUAAAAAUUGGUACCAGGAUAUGAAAACAUUGUCUGGAGUCAUUUACUGUCUUGUGUGUGCUAUGCUUCAUCUCUUCUGAGAUGUCUGAAAAUGUUACCCAGUCCCACAACUGGCAAAAGCAAUUUGCCUGUUUUGAGAGCAAGUGGUUACACAAAAUGCAGGGACCAACAGCUGCCCUUUGUUUCCACCCUGGGGCUGACAGCCCAGCAGCUCUCUGGGGCUGACAGUUAAAGCUGUGUGUGAGAGCCUUUACAACUUGUAGCAUGUCAGGACACUCUGACAUGCCUUGAAAUCUGAGUAGUGCUGAAAGUGCCAGAUAGUGCUUUGAAUACAGGAAUCUUUUUAUUUACAGGCCAGGGACAGCCCAGUGGAGUUACAGCUCCGAGGGAUCUCAUUGUGCCUGCUGCAAUGCACUUCAUGGCCGGGCAGGACCUCACAGGCAAAGAGAAGAGACAUAAUUUGGCAACUGCUUGAAGAAAGAUCCCUUCAAAACCUCCUGCUGUUCACCCUGGUUGCUCUAUACCUGUUUCAUAUGCACCUUACAACCAGUCUCACAAGGACUACAAGAAAUGGUUGAUUUUACCACUGAUAGUGGCUCCUGAUGGGAUUUCACUGGGAAACCUGCUUUCUGCAAAGAGCAUUUGCAUCUAAACGUCCUGGUUGCAAGUAUCAUGUGACAAGUCAAGCUGAAUGCCAGGGGAGACACUCCAGAUGGACUCAGUCUGGCACUUGUGACUCUGGAGAAAAACAGCUGAGGUCAAAUCUUAAUGCUACUGAAUCUGAGGUGUGAUUUGUUUCAGUUCACUGAUAGGAUUUCUCCUAUUUUUUUCUUGGUGUAAGGAAUACAUCACAGAACAAAGUAAGGCUUAUUUGUUUUAUUUGAGUACACAAAUGUUGCUGAGCUAGUUCUCCAACAGGGCACAGGAAUGACAAAAGCACCAGUAAUUUUAUAUAAUGAAGAGUGUGAGUCAGUGGUGGGUAAAAAAGCAGAUAUUUUAAUGAAUGGUAGGUUUAAAAAGGAAUCACAAACCAACAAAAUUAGAAUUGUAAAAAUGUCAUUUUAAGCCCCACGUUAGGCUUUUCAAAAUUAAAGGGGACAAAAACCUACUUAUUUCAGCUUAUUACUGAGUUGAAAGCACCUCUUGAAAGCAUAACAGAAUGCUCUUCCUUUGCCCUAGUCUUUCAUUUGCCGUUCACAUUCUGCUAGUCUGUUACUGUGGGGCUCCUUGAACCACUAACAACUACUGUUAGUUUUUCUACAAAGAAGGGUUUGGGUAGCUCCUGACUGGUGUGAAGGGGACUUUCACAAGUGACAAAGAAAAUCUGUGCCCAAUUUGACCUAUACUCCAGAAAUAACCAGCUGCAAUCAUGCUUUGAAUUUAGACCAUUAAUAUUUAACUGAAUUUUCUACAUCACUUAUGUAGAAAUCACUUAUGAGUGAUGAAUUUCCUCUUAGGGGAAUAGCAAUACAUUUUAAAAAAAAAUUACACUUGUAUUAUGGGUAAUCAUUAUUUGAAUAGAGAUAAUGCCUAGAUGUCCCUGCCUAAAGUUGUGAUGUAGUGUUUUAAAGUACUUGGUGCCAUUACUGGAUUCUGGGUGGGCACAUCCCACAGUCCCCUCUGUGCCUUGGUCCUGGACUGCCCCUUUCCCUCCCCUGUCCUGGCACAACUCACAUGGGAUUGUGCACCCAACCAGAUGGGGAAAGUGAUAUAGCAGAAAGAAAUCUAGAGCUCCCCUUGCCUCCAGUGUUUCUGUGUGAAUGAGUUUCAGUUUAGAGCAGAGCUGAAGAAGAGUUUUGUUGCUGAAAAGGUUGGUAUCACACUGAGAGAGACACGUGAGGGUAGGACUGGCAGUACUUUCAGUCAGAACUGCCAGCCUCUGUGCCCCACUGUGUUGACAUUCUGUCCUGGUUUUCUUUAAAUUGUUAUGUUGAACACCUUGUAAUAAAAAUUAAGAGCUGACAGGUCUAUAGAGAAAACAAAUAAUGCAAGCACAAGGUAACAGUGAGAUCAUACUGGUCAACAUAUUAGAAGGCAGUGGCUGGAAACCACCAGAUGAGUCACUGCUGAGCUUUUCCUGUUGGCAUCACUGCAGGGAUGAAUGUUAAGGAGGACACGCUGUCUGUGAUGAAUGACUCCCAUACAUGCCAUAUUAGUCCUAGUUAGCUUGACUCAUUGUCCUGUGAUGAUUCUGUGGUUAGAAAAUUGACCACAACACUCAUGAAACAGGUGGGUUUUUGCCCAGUACCUUUGUUUACAUUGUCAUCUCUCUCUGCCCCCCUCAAAUGGCUCUGCUCUCUGUUGUAUAAACCAAGACUUGUUUUUGCUUCCAAAUCCUCCCUCAGUUAUCUAAGGCCCUCUUUGACUGUUCUCUUUCAACACAGACACCUUAAGUCUCUCCAAGUAUCCCAGUGCCAGCCUUCCCAGCAUACCUCUUGGAUUUCCAGGGCUGCUGUUUUGUAUUUUUCAUCUGUUUGGGAGGCGUUUCUGUAAGUAACAGUAGAACCACGUGUAAUCCUCCCUUGGCCCUUCUUAAAUCUCAUCUUUGUUUGGGUGCCAAAGAGAGGGUGACAACAGUUAGGAUCUGAAUCUACUCCUGCUGGCCUAUUUCUCCCCCUUCCUAAUGUGCUUCUCUUUUUGGACCUUUCAGAAAUACAGACAAAUAGAGGUAUUUUUGUGUGGAUGUAUUUGUCCUCUGUUCACACACAGGGGUAGCAGCCCUACUGUAGCAACUGCUGUACAGUCAAGCCCAAACUGACAGAGAACAGCACAUUCACUGGCCUCUUCCUCUGUUUAAAGCUCUAAUGUGUUUGAUGAGUUCUUGUAGCUAAGAAGUGCUGUUAACUUAGCUAUUGCACUAGGCUCUCCUGAUAUUUCACAACCAUAAUUUUGAACUUCUACUACAUAUUUUCAUAUUUUCAUAUUUUCAUAUUUUCAUAUUUUCAUAUUUUCAUAUUUUCACAUUUUUACAUUUUCACAUUUUCAUAUUUUUCAUAUUCUCAUAUUUUCAUAUUUUCAUAUUUUUAUCUUCUACCUCCUUAUUGGAUGCAAAUGUGACACCUAGAACAAGGUUAGAGCAGUGCAAAGCUGUCACUUUGACAUACCACAUCACUGCAAACAGGGAUACAUGUCCUUCAUGGUAUACGAAGAAGGAAAAUAACUAUUGGAAAGCAAAUCAUAUCCAGUUAUGACUGGAAUUUUGCUAUAUCUAGAUCUAGUAAUUGCCAUUCAUAUGUCUGCUGGUUUACUUCCUUAGUCUGUCCCUAGAACAGACUAAUAGAGUAGUUUCCAGUGAAGAUGCACUGGAAUAAUAUAUGGUAUAAUAUACUUUAAUGGAAAAAACCUGCUAGUAAGAAAGUUCUUCCUAAUCCUCCUAAGUCAAAGAUAAUUUGUGCCUUGAAAGAUAACUUUUUGCAACUCUUCUGUAAAAACUCCUUAUGUAACUAUGAGUAUUUUUAUUAAUUACACAGAUUAUUUUUAUUAAUUACACAAAUUGUUUUUAUUAAUUACACAAAUGUCUAAAAUGGACUUUCUCGACCCUGGGAUGAGUUCAGCUGGUCAGAGCAUGGUGGUGAUAACACCAAGGUUUUGGGUUAAAUCCCCAUGUGGGCCAUUCCCUUAAGACUGAACUUGAUGAUCCUUGUGGGUCCCUUCCAACUCAGAAUAUUCUGUGAUUCUCAAACAGCAGACCUUGCUAGGUCUAGAUGAUGAGAAAUUUUGCCUAGAUUGUGUCAAGGUACCAGACUUACUAAUUCUCCUGUGUUCUUUUGGAAAAUCCUUUGUUUCUCACCAUUUCCCUGGAGCUUGGGGGUGCUGAUGGGGAGCUGUACUCUGUGGCUACACUCCUGUGCUGUGCAGGCAGCAUGCAUUGCCAGCCUGGCAGGGCUGGGAUAGGGAACUUGAACUUUGCUGAACAAAAGGAUGCUUAUUUCUAUAAAGAGCAAUGGGUUAGUCUCAGUCAAAGCUUUGCCCAUCACAUCUUGCUGGCUCUGUGGGACUUUGUUACCUGUAUUUUUUAUUUUGCUUAUAACUUUUAUUCUCUAGUUGUAUCGUGCUGAUUUUUUUUUUUAAAUCUUGAAGAAAGAAUGCUGUCACAUGCAUGGAGUUGAGGAAACUGGCAGGAGUCAGGGUGAUGACAUGCAGCCUGUUAAUUACUUGUCAUUACUGACACUCAGUGCAGGUACAGCAGCACAUGCCGCAGUCCCGUGCCUUCCUCCUGCCUGACUGCACAUUGCCAAACAUUAGUAUUCCAGUGUAGAGCCCAGCACUUGUCUGUGAAUACCAUUAGAACUGGGUCACUAACAGAAGGUGCGUGACAGAUUCACAUGCAGAACAACCAAAGCCAUUUCCUCCGUCUCGUACAGAGCACAAACACUGAGAGGGAAGGCUGUGUGUACAGUGUGAGUGGAAUGACAAAUGACAGGAUGCAGUGAUAGACUUGUUUGAUGGCAUUAGUGAUGCAGUUCUGCCUUGGAAACAGUGGGAGCAGGUGAUCAGCUGGGCUAUGUGGGGCACUGGUUUUGCCAAAUGGUCAAAUUUAAUAGGGAUUCAAAUGAUUAAGUAUUUCAUUUUGAAGAGAAAAUUCUCUUGCUCAGCAGAAUGACUUCUAUUAUUUAGCAUUUUCUAUUCUGUUUGGAAUAAAGAGGUUUUAACCUCACAGCUUCAGUCUGCAUAUCUCUCUUCCAGCUCCAGGAAUUAUUGCUGUAGCUGUGUGCUAAGCAGUCAUAAAAAUGUUGCAGAGGAAUUUGUCAUUCCAGAAAACAUGGAGUGAGUUCGAGUAGACUGUGUUCUGCCCUACCAAAGUCCCUUUAAAACAGCUAGAGAAGAAUGGAAGGGAACUUUUCCUGACAGCAUCAUUCCAACUACCUUCUGAAUCAGAAGAGCACGCUGAGACCUUUUUUAUAUGGAAAAAACCAAGGUGGAAGCCAGGGAAAGGAAGUAUCUGGAACUGCAGAGAAACUGCAUUAGCUGAGUGUCAGCACAUGAGCUACACAGACUCUGUGGUGCCCUGCUCUGUGUUAGUCAGUGUAGAUAACCUAAGAAUCAUGCCCUUUAUAAGCCUUUAUUAAUUACUUUUCCUUCUUUUUUUUGAUGUAACAGAAGAUUUCUGGAGACAAACAUCAUGCGCAUAGAUGUAGCACCACACCACGCUCUGCCUCAUUCAUCUGUACUCCUUUUCCCUGCCAAGCCUCUCAUGAUUCGUUCACUUUUAUUUAAAGCUGGAAAAGAAAAAAAAAAGUUCAGAAAACCAGCUCAUAUGGAAAAGAAAAAUCAGGUCACUCAGACUGGUCUGCAGAUUCAGGUCAUAUCCAGUGACAUGUUUAAAUGGAAAAAAAUACGGGAGAAUCAGUAAAAUGAGGAGUAUUUUUCCUAUUCUGUUAAUAUGAAAUUUUACUGUUCUUUUGUUUCAAAAAUAUUGGAAAGACAUUUUGAGUCCAAAAUACUAAACAGGGAUUAAACAGAGAAGGAAAUGAGCCAGAAGCAAACGAAGCGCAAUCUCUUCACAAAUAAAAUGUCCUAUUAACUCCCAAAUGGCUUUUUGAUUUGGAGAAAUGAAAGAUAGUUUUAAUUUUUAAAUUAAAAUACAGAACCAGAAGGCAAUUACUUGCAAUUCUGUCUAAAGUGAACAACUGAAGAUUUGUUUCUAACAUGUUUAUUUGUUUAACAUGUUAGACAGGUAAUGUUAUACACAUCCUCAUUGUGACUUUUCUUCCUGUGUGCAUGAAUUCCUUUCUGGCACACAGAGCAAACAGGUGUGAGCCAGAGCAAGGUGUCCCACAGGCCAUAACCAACAAAUAACUAAUUGGCAUCUAUGCUGCAACAGGGCAAAGAUCCAGCCAAAUUAUGAUGAGGCACUGUGCCAUCCUAAUAGACUCACAUUAACAAGGACGCCAAGAUUCCAUAAAUUUGCAUUAUUUACAUUUAGUUAGAGCAGGAUUCCCAGCUGGGAAGUUCCACAUGGUUGUCCAUCCUGAUCAUAUACAAUUAUGAUGGAAAAAGACCUCUCUGACUAAUCCAGCAUCCUGAAAUAGUUUUCAGCAAGCUUUUAAACAUUAAUAAUUACUUAAGAAUGUUCCCACUCUUCUACCUCAAUAAAUCGCUGGGAAUGGUAUUUUUGUUGUCUUUGUACAAAAUGAAUUAAAAAUUUAUACAAUUAGA